GACGAACGCUGGCGGCGUGCUUAACACAUGCAAGUCGAACGGAAAGGCCCUGCUUUUGUGGGGUGCUCGAGUGGCGAACGGGUGAGUAACACGUGAGUAACCUGCCCUUGACUUUGGGAUAACUUCAGGAAACUGGGGCUAAUACCGGAUAGGAGCUCCUGCUGCAUGGUGGGGGUUGGAAAGUUUCGGCGGUUGGGGAUGGACUCGCGGCUUAUCAGCUUGUUGGUGGGGUAGUGGCUUACCAAGGCUUUGACGGGUAGCCGGCCUGAGAGGGUGACCGGCCACAUUGGGACUGAGAUACGGCCCAGACUCCUACGGGAGGCAGCAGUGGGGAAUAUUGCACAAUGGGCGGAAGCCUGAUGCAGCUACGCCGCGUGCGGGAUGACGGCCUUCGGGUUGUAAACCGCUUUCGCCUGUGACGAAGCGUGAGUGACGGUAAUGGGUAAAGAAGCACCGGCUAACUACGUG
rnacentral:rRNA from 1 species